rnacentral:rRNA from 1 species
UUGCUGACGGAUGUCUAGGCUCUUGCGUCGAUGAAGAACGUAGCAACCAGCGAUAUACGAUGAUAGGAGCGCUCUCGUGAAUCAUCGGAUCUUCGAACGCAUACAGUGCUCAGUAAGUACCUCGGGAAGGGGUGAGCAUGCUUAGCGCAGUGA